UUUGGUUAAGUUAGAAAGGGCGCACGGUGGAUGCCUUGACACUAGGAGUCGAUGAAGGACGGGACUAACGCCGAUAUGCUUCGGGGAGCUGUAAGUAAGCUUUGAUCCGAAGAUUUCCGAAUGGGGAAACCCACCAUACGUAAUGGUAUGGUAUCCUUAUCUGAAUACAUAGGGUAAGGAAGACAGACCCAGGGAACUGAAACAUCUAAGUACCUGGAGGAAGAGAAAGCAAAUGCGAUUUCCUGAGUAGCGGCGAGCGAAACGGAACAUAGCCCAAACAAGAGGCUUGCCUCUUGGGGUUGUAGGACAUUCUAUACGGAGUUACAAAGGAACGAGGUAGACGAAGCGACCUGGAAAGGUCCGUCGUAGAGGGUAACAACCCCGUAGUCGAAACUUCGUUCUCUCUUGAAUGUAUCCUGAGUACGGCGGAACACGUGAAAUUCCGUCGGAAUCUGGGAGGACCAUCUCCCAAGGCUAAAUACUCCCUAGUGAUCGAUAGUGAACCAGUACCGUGAGGGAAGGUGAAAAGCACCCCGAAAGGGGAGUGAAAGAGAUCCUGAAACCGUGUGCCUACAAAUAGUCAGAGCCCGUUAACGGGUGAUGGCGUGCCUUUUGUAGAAUGAACCGGCGAGUUACGAUCCGUGCGAGGUUAAGCUGAAGAGGCGGAGCCGCAGCGAAAGCGAGUCUGAAUAGGGCGUUUAGUACGUGGUCGUAGACCCGAAACCAGGUGAUCUACCCAUGUCCAGGGUGAAGUUCAGGUAACACUGAAUGGAGGCCCGAACCCACGCACGUUGAAAAGUGCGGGGAUGAGGUGUGGGUAGCGGAGAAAUUCCAAUCGAACCUGGAGAUAGCUGGUUCUCCCGAAAUAGCUUUAGGGCUAGCCUUAAGUGUAAGAGUCUUGGAGGUAGAGCACUGAUUGGACUAGGGGUCCUCAUCGGAUUACCGAAUUCAGUCAAACUCCGAAUGCCAAUGACUUAUCCUUAGGAGUCAGACUGCGAGUGAUAAGAUCCGUAGUCAAAAGGGAAACAGCCCAGACCGCCAGCUAAGGUCCCAAAGUGUGUAUUAAGUGGAAAAGGAUGUGGAGUUGCUUAGACAACUAGGAUGUUGGCUUAGAAGCAGCCACCAUUUAAAGAGUGCGUAAUAGCUCACUAGUCGAGUGACUCUGCGCCGAAAAUGUACGGGGCUAAAUACACCACCGAAGCUGCGGAUUGAUACCAAUGGUAUCAGUGGUAGGGGAGCGUUCUAAGGACAGUGAAGUCAGACCGGAAGGACUGGUGGAGUGCUUAGAAGUGAGAAUGCCGGUAUGAGUAGCGAAAGACGGGUGAGAAUCCCGUCCACCGAAUGCCUAAGGUUUCCUGAGGAAGGCUCGUCCGCUCAGGGUUAGUCAGGACCUAAGCCGAGGCCGACAGGCGUAGGCGAUGGACAACAGGUUGAUAUUCCUGUACCACCUCUUUAUCGUUUGAGCAAUGGAGGGACGCAGAAGGAUAGAAGAAGCGUGCGAUUGGUUGUGCACGUCCAAGCAGUUAGGCUGAUAAGUAGGCAAAUCCGCUUAUCGUGAAGGCUGAGCUGUGAUGGGGAAGCUCCUUAUGGAGCGAAGUCUUUGAUUCCCCGCUGCCAAGAAAAGCUUCUAGCGAGAUAAAAGGUGCCUGUACCGCAAACCGACACAGGUAGGCGAGGAGAGAAUCCUAAGGUGUGCGAGAGAACUCUGGUUAAGGAACUCGGCAAAAUGACCCCGUAACUUCGGGAGAAGGGGUGCUUUCUUAACGGAAAGCCGCAGUGAAUAGGCCCAAGCGACUGUUUAGCAAAAACACAGCUCUCUGCGAAGCCGUAAGGCGAAGUAUAGGGGGUGACACCUGCCCGGUGCUGGAAGGUUAAGGAGAGGGGUUAGCGUAAGCGAAGCUCUGAACUGAAGCCCCAGUAAACGGCGGCCGUAACUAUAACGGUCCUAAGGUAGCGAAAUUCCUUGUCGGGUAAGUUCCGACCCGCACGAAAGGUGUAACGAUUUGGGCACUGUCUCAACCAGAGACUCGGUGAAAUUAUAGUACCUGUGAAGAUGCAGGUUACCCGCGACAGGACGGAAAGACCCCGUGGAGCUUUACUGUAGCCUGAUAUUGAAUUUUGGUACAGUUUGUACAGGAUAGGCGGGAGCCUUUGAAACCGGAGCGCUAGCUUCGGUGGAGGCGCUGGUGGGAUACCGCCCUGACUGUAUUGAAAUUCUAACCUACGGGUCUUAUCGACCCGGGAGACAGUGUCAGGUGGGCAGUUUGACUGGGGCGGUCGCCUCCUAAAGUGUAACGGAGGCGCCCAAAGGUUCCCUCAGAAUGGUUGGAAAUCAUUCGUAGAGUGCAAAGGCAUAAGGGAGCUUGACUGCGAGACCUACAAGUCGAGCAGGGACGAAAGUCGGGCUUAGUGAUCCGGUGGUUCCGCAUGGAAGGGCCAUCGCUCAACGGAUAAAAGCUACCCCGGGGAUAACAGGCUUAUCUCCCCCAAGAGUCCACAUCGACGGGGAGGUUUGGCACCUCGAUGUCGGCUCAUCGCAUCCUGGGGCUGUAGUCGGUCCCAAGGGUUGGGCUGUUCGCCCAUUAAAGCGGUACGCGAGCUGGGUUCAGAACGUCGUGAGACAGUUCGGUCCCUAUCCGUCGUGGGCGUAGGAAAUUUGAGAGGAGCUGUCCUUAGUACGAGAGGACCGGGAUGGACGCACCGCUGGUGUACCAGUUGUUCUGCCAAGGGCAUAGCUGGGUAGCUAUGUGCGGAAGGGAUAAGUGCUGAAAGCAUCUAAGCAUGAAGCCCCCCUCAAGAUGAGAUUUCCCAUAGCGUAAGCUAGUAAGAUCCCUGAAAGAUGAUCAGGUUGAUAGGUUCGAGGUGGAAGCAUGGUGACAUGUGGAGCUGACGAAUACUAAUAGAUCGAGGACUUAACCAUAUAA
rnacentral:rRNA from 1 species